AUCUAACUGAAGAGUCACAAAUAGAACGAAAAGCGCGUUCUGGAU
rnacentral:hammerhead_ribozyme from 1 species